rnacentral:rRNA from 1 species
UCCCGUAUGUGACCGGCGACCAACCCCAUGUGAAACUCCUUCGACGAGUCGAGUUGUUUGGGAAUGCAGCUCAAAAUAGGUGGUAUAUUUCAUCUAAAGCUAAAUACCGGCCAGAGACCGAUAGCGCACAAGUAGAGUGAUCGAAAGAUGAAAAGCACUUUGGAAAGAGAGUCAAAAAGUACGUGAAAUUGUUGAAAGGGAAGCGCUCGCAACCAGACCUGCCCGCGGCCGAUCAGCCGUCCUUCUGGGCGGUGCACUCGGUCGCGAUCAGGCCAGCAUCGGUUCGGGCGGCCGGACAAAGGCCCUGGGAAUGUAGCUCCUUUCGGGGAGUGUUAUAGCCCUCGGUGUCAUGCGGCCCGCCUGGACCGAGGACCGCGCUUCGGCUAGGAUGCUGGCGUAAUGGUUGUGAGCGGCCCGUCUUGAAACACGGACCAAGGAGUCUAACAUCUAUGCGAGUGUUUGGGUGUCAAACCCAUGCGCGGAAUGAAAGUGAACGGAGGUGGGAACCCAUUUCGGGCGCACCAUCGACCGAUCCAGAUGUCUUCGGAUGGAUUUGAGUACGAGCAUAGCUGUUGGGACCCGAAAGAUGGUGAACUAUGCCUGAAUAGGGUGAAGCCAGAGGAAACUCUGGUGGAGGCUCGCAGCGGUUCUGACGUGCAAAUCGAUCGUCAAAUUUGGGUAUAGGGGCGAAAGACUAAUCGAACCAUU